AUGUUUUGGUUCUAGGAGCUUGC
rnacentral:piRNA from 1 species